AUAGAGCAUUAAGAGCAGGGUUAAAUCCCUCUCCAACCUGCCAACUCCGGCAAGGUGGAAAAAAUGAUGCGGUUAACCAACAAACAUAGGAGUACAA
rnacentral:ncRNA from 1 species